rnacentral:lncRNA from 1 species
AUGCCUCUCCUUAAUGUCAAUAUGUCUUGUCCAUUGCUGUUCUGGUUAGUGUUUAUUGGCUUAUUUCACUGUAGAGCCUCUAGUCCUGCUCACUAUACCUUAUCCAACCUAUUAGUUCCACCACCCACAUAUGCAAUGACAUCUCCUGGUUUCAAUGAUGUUUCUAGAGACAAUAUCUCUCUCUUCAUCACUCAAUACCUAGGUUUACCUCCACUGUAUUCACAUCCUACCUUACCUUUGUCUGUACAUUAUACCUUGAUGCUAUUUUAUCGCCCCCAGAAACCUCCUUUUACUCUCUGUUCCAGACGUUCUAGACGACCAAUUCUUAUUGCUUUUAGUCGCACCCUUAUUCUACUCCUCCUAUGUUCCUCUGGCGAUGUAGAGGUGAAUCCAGGCCCUGCAGUGCCUAGCUCCACUCCUAUUCCCCAGGCGCUCUCUUUUGACGACUUCUGUAACCGUAAUAGCCUUGGUUUCAUGCAUGUUAACAUUAGAAGCCUCCUCCCUAAGUUUGUUCUAUUCACUGCUUUAGCACACUCUGCCAACCCGGAUGUUCUAGCUGUGUCUGAAUCCUGGCUUAGGAAGACCACCAAAAAUUCAGACAUUUUAAUUCCAAACUACAACAUUUUCAGACAAGAUAGAACUGCCAAAGGGGGCGGUGUUGCAAUCUACUGCAAAGAUAGCCUGCAGAGUUCUGUCCUAUUAUCCAGGUCUGUACCCAAACAAUUUGAACUUCUACUUUUAAAAAUCCACCUCUCUAAAAACAAGUCUCUCACCGUUGCCGCCUGCUAUAGACCACCCUCUGCCCCCAGCUGUGCUCUGGACACCAUAUGUGAACUGAUUGCCCCCCAUCUAUCUUCAGAGCUCGUGCUGCUAGGCGACCUAAACUGGAACAUGCUUAACACCCCAGCCAUCCUACAAUCUAAACUUGAUGCCCUCAAUCUCACACAAAUUAUCAAUGAACCUACCAGGUACCUCCCCAAAGCCUUAAACACGGGCACCCUCAUAGAUAUCAUCCUAACCAACUUCCCCUCUAAAUACACCUCUGCUGUCUUCAACCAAGAUCUCAGCGAUCACUGCCUCAUUGCCUGCAUCCGUAAUGGGUCAGCGGUCAAACGACCUCCUCUCAUCACUGUAAAACGCUCCCUGAAACACUUCAGCGAGCAGGCCUUUCUAAUCGACCUGGCCGGGGUAUCCUGGAAGGAUAUUGACCUCAUCCCGUCAGUAGAGGAUGCCUGGAUAUUUUUUAAAAAUGCCUUCCUAACCAUCUUAAAUAAACAUGCCCCAUUCAAGAAAUUUAGAACCAGGAACAGAUAUAGCCCUUGGUUCUCCCCAGACCUGACUGCCCUUAAUCAACACAAAAAUGUCCUAUGGCGUUCUGCAUUAGCAUCGAACAGCCCCCGUGAUAUGCAGCUGUUCAGGGAAGCUAGAAACCAUUAUACACAGGCAGUUAGAAAAGCCAAGGCUAGCUUUUUCAAGCAGAAAUUUGCUUCUUGCAACACUAACUCAAAAAAGUUCUGGGACACUGUAAAGUCCAUGGAGAAUAAGAACACCUCCUCCCAGCUGCCCACUGCACUGAAGAUAGGAAACACUGUCACCACUGAUAAAUCCACCAUAAUUGAAAAUUUCAAUAAGCAUUUUUCUACUGCUGGCCAUGCUUUCCACCUGGCUACUCCUACCCCUGUCAACAGCACUGCACCCCCAACAGCAACUCGCCCAAGCCUUCCCCAUUUCUCCUUCUCCCAAAUCCAUUCAGCUGAUGUUCUGAAAGAGCUGCAAAAUCUGGACCCCUACAAAUCAGCCGGGCUAGACAAUCUGGACCCUUUCUUUCUAAAAUGA